AGAGUUUGAUCCUGGCUCAGAGCGAACGCUGGCGGCAGGCCUAACACAUGCAAGUCGAACGAACUCUUCGGAGUUAGUGGCGGACGGGUGAGUAACACGUGGGAACGUGCCUUUAGGUUCGGAAUAACUCAGGGAAACUUGUGCUAAUACCGAAUGUGCCCUUCGGGGGAAAGAUUUAUCGCCUUUAGAGCGGCCCGCGUCUGAUUAGCUAGUUGGUGAGGUAAAGGCUCACCAAGGCGACGAUCAGUAGCUGGUCUGAGAGGAUGAUCAGCCACAUUGGGACUGAGACACGGCCCAAACUCCUACGGGAGGCAGCAGUGGGGAAUCUUGCGCAAUGGGCGAAAGCCUGACGCAGCCAUGCCGCGUGAAUGAUGAAGGUCUUAGGAUUGUAAAAUUCUUUCACCGGGGACGAUAAUGACGGUACCCGAGAAGAGCCCCCGGA
rnacentral:rRNA from 1 species